rnacentral:rRNA from 1 species
CAGUAGCCACGGUAAUACGUAGGGUGCGAGCGUUAAUCGGAAUUACUGGGCGUAAAGCGUGCGCAGGCGGUUAUAUAAGACAGAUGUGAAAUCCCCGGGCUCAACCUGGGACCUGCAUUUGUGACUGUAUAGCUAGAGUACGGUAGAGGGGGAUGGAAUUCCGCGUGUAGCAGUGAAAUGCGUAGAUAUGCGGAGGAUCACCGAUGGCGAAGGCAAUCCCCUGGACCUGUACUGACGCUCAUGCACGAAAGCGUGGGGAGCAAACAGGAUUAGAUACCCCAGUAGUCCCUGUCUCUUAUAA